GACGAACGCUGGCGGCGUGCCUAAUACAUGCAAGUCGAGCGCAGGAAACUGACGGAACUCUUCGGAGGGAAGGCAGUGGAAUGAGCGGCGGACGGGUGAGUAACACGUAAGGAACCUGCCUCAAGGAUUGGGAUAACUCCGAGAAAUCGGAGCUAAUACCGGAUAGUUCAACGGACCGCAUGGUCCGCUGAUGAAAGGCGCUCCGGCGUCACCUUGAGAUGGCCUUGCGGUGCAUUAGCUAGUUGGGGGGGUAACGGCCCACCAAGGCGACGAUGCAUAGCCGGCCUGAGAGGGUGAUCGGCCACACUGGGACUGAGACACGGCCCAGACUCCUACGGGAGGCAGCAGUAGGGAAUCUUCCACAAUGGACGAAAGUCUGAUGGAGCAACGCCGCGUGAGUGAUGAAGGUUUUCGGAUCGUAAAACUCUGUUGUAAGGGAAGAACACGUACGAGAGGAAAUGCUCGUACCUUGACGGUACCUUACGAGAAAGCCACGGCUAACUACGUGCCAGCCGCCGCGGUAAUAC
rnacentral:rRNA from 1 species